rnacentral:tRNA from 1 species
GUCUAGCCUAUUUAUAUAAAAAUAAUGCCUAGUGGACAUGGCAUCAGCCCGGUAAGCGGAACAUUGUGGGUUCGAUUCCCAUCCCUGGACA